rnacentral:rRNA from 1 species
GACGUAGGGUCCAAGCGUUGUCCGGAUUUACUGGGCGUAAAGAGCGCGUAGGCGGUCUGUUAAGUGUAGAGUGAAAUCUCCAGGGCUCAACCCGGAAACUGCUCUGCAUACUGGCAGACUGGAGUGAUGCAUAGGUUUGUGGAAUUCCUGGUGUAACGGUGAAAUGUGUUGAUAUCAGGAGGAACACCCAUGGCGAAGGCAGCAAACUGGGCAUUAACUGACGCUGAGGCGCGAAAGCGUGGGUAGCAAACAGG